rnacentral:rRNA from 1 species
AGAGUUUGAUCCUGGCUCAGGACGAACGCUUGCGACGUGCCUGAGAAAUGCAAGUCGAGCGGUGGGAGACCUUUCGGGGUUUCCUAUAGCGGCGAACGGUCGAGUAACACGUAACCAACCUGCCCUUGAGUCUGGGAUAGCCCGCCGAAAGGCGGCGUAAUACCGGAUGGUUUCCUAUCUCCGCAUGGUGUUUAGGAAUAAAGCUUUAUGUGCUUGAGGAGGGGGUUGCGGCCUAUCAGCUGGUUGGUGAGGUAACGGCUCACCAAGGCGACGACGGGUAGCCGGCCUGAGAGGGUGACCGGCCACACUGGGACUGAGACACGGCCCAGACUCCUACGGGAGGCAGCAGUGGGGAAUAUUGCACAAUGGGCGAAAGCCUGAUGCAGCGACGCCGCGUGAGGGAUGACGGCCUUCGGGUUGUAAACCUCUUUCAGUAGGGAAGAAGCGAAAGUGACGGUACCUGCAGAAGAAGCGCCGGCUAACUACGUGCCAGCAGCCGCGGUAAUACGUAGGGCGCAAGCGUUAUCCGGAAUUAUUGGGCGUAAAGAGCUCGUAGGCGGUUUGUCGCGUCUGCCGUGAAAGUCCGGGGCUCAACUCCGGAUCUGCGGUGGGUACGGGCAGACUAGAGUGAUGUAGGGGAGACUGGAAUUCCUGGUGUAGCGGUGAAAUGCGCAGAUAUCAGGAGGAACACCGAUGGCGAAGGCAGGUCUCUGGGCAUUAACUGACGCUGAGGAGCGAAAGCAUGGGGAGCGAACAGGAUUAGAUACCCCGGUAGUCC